rnacentral:tRNA from 1 species
CUUAAAGGGAGACCUAAUUCAGGUAGGAGACGAAAAAAAAGUAGUCGCUACCAAGAAUCAAUCCCAAAAGGUCGGAGCGAGGCGAAAUUGGCUUUCAAACUAGGUUCUGGGUUCACACAAGACCUGAAUCAGGAACAAGGGCUAUUAGCUCAGGUGGUUAGAGCGCACCCCUGAUAAGGGUGAGGUCCCUGGUUCGAGUCCAGGAUGGCCCACCUGCACAGGUGGCAAAAACAAGAGAAGCGAGGAAUCAGCACCUUAUCUUACUGACAUAGUAAGAGAGAAUGCUGGCUCUGAGUAAAGAGUCCAGAGGAACCUUGAAAACUGCAUAGAGCUAGGUGAAAAAGCCAAAAAAGAAGACCGCAAGGUC